GGUUGAAAUUUUGCAGGGUUGUUGAAAUCAAAUUUAGGGACUUUACUGACGGGACUCUGGGCUGGCUGCUCUGUUCACUCGUCAGCGCAAGUGGCGUGACCAUGUAAUUGGGGCACGGGGCCGGCGCGGCGCGCUGCGGGCUUGCAGAAUUUUGUUUGUUUGUUUGGCCGCACGCUGGCGCAGCCACGGGCCGCAGUUACUGGGGCGCGCUGUCGUAACAAGCCGCGCGGUGUGGCCUGCACAUUGGGGUAGAGGGGGGGUAGUCUUCCCAGAUGUUCUAGUUAGUUGUUUAGUAAAUUUGACUUCAAUAACGAGCUUUUGUUAUGGUAGGCGCGGCAGGGCGCGCGAAUUUAAGCGCAAGUGAUUGGUGACUCGGGGCUCACUCAGGCGGAGGCUAUGCGUCUCACCUGUGGUCACGAGUUGUUAGUUCGUUCGUGAUGUAGGAAUUCAAGCUUUCGGGCGGAAGCUAUGGUCGACGCCAGAGGCCACGAGUCGUUUAAUUUAAGUUAGGUCAUAAUGUAGUCGUCAAGCUUUCGGGCGGAGGCUAUGGCCCUCGUCAGGGGUCACGCGUCAUAGUUUUUAAAAUGUAAUGUUCGUUCGGGAUUUCAAGGGCAGGAGAGGCCCCUACGUUAUUUUUUUAAAGUAAUCGAUCAAGAAAGGCUUUUCGGAAAAUGUGAGUAUGGACUUAUCUUUGUUUUAAUUUUAAGUAUUAAUUAUGAUUUGAGGUAUUCGGAAGGACUAGGGAAGUGUUUAGUGAAGUUCUCUCAUUCUCUCUCUUGUAAGGUCGUUCAAUCGUUAAGGAAGUAAAGAGAUUAUUGUUUUAAAUUGUAAUCCCGCUAUUUAAAUGUUCUUUAAAAUGAUGUUGAGUAUUUGACUUUAAGAAUAAAAUAAUUUUAAUUAAGUAUUAUGUUAUUUUGCAAAAUCUCCUUAGUUCAGCUCUCACCAGACAUCCUGUACGGGAUGACGAACCUAUGAUCCUAGGUACAGUAAAGUAUUUUAUGAAGUUAAGACUAGUUGAUGCCAAGCGAGUUGUUUCUAUGUAAAGAGCUACGAUUCUCGCCCCCCCCUCUGAAGGUGGAUCGUGACAGAAAUGGUGGAGGCGCCGGGUAGGUUCUAUUUCUGGAGAGAGAGAGAGGUAGAUUUUUAUGUUUAUUAUUAAGUUAGUUUCAGCUUCUGAUAGCAGGUUAUUAAGAGUUUACUUGAGGAGAGGAUUACGGAAUUUUAGUCUAUAGUGGAGGAAGUCUUUGAGAUUUUUUUUUUGACGUAACAGAUGUUUAUUUGAGGAUACUUGUAAGGAUAAAGUUUAUAGUGAUAAGUUGUUUUAAGUCGUUGAAUUUAUUGUAGAUUUAUAUCGGGGAUUAUUACGUGAGGAGAAUACGUUAUAAGUUAAAUGCUUAUUAGAGAUAAUGCAAGUGGUUUAAUUUAAUUGAAGUUCAUUUUAAGAUUGUAGGUUAAGAGAAUUAUAAUUUAAAAUAAAGUUUUUUGUCGUAAAUAGGAAUUAUUUUCAAGAGAAGUUUGUUUUGUUUUCGUGCGCGUAGGAGACGAGACGUACGAAUUAAAUCAGUCGAGGGAAGGAUAAACGUUAGAAAGGAAUUAAAGAGAAAACGAGAGUUUAUGUAAAAGAGAGUUAUAGAAUUUAUAGUGAUGUUUUGUUUUAAUUAGAAAAAUGUUGAGAGUUGUUUCAGAACGACACGUCAGUGGACGUGGCAGAAUGAACACGUGACGGGGAGGUGCUGAGACCUAGCGGAGAACGGAGGAACCGCAAGCGAGGGUUGGCGCACCUGAUGGAAUUCGGUGACGUCACGGGCUCAUACGGAGACGUGGACAGGCCGUGACCUUGUUUUGAUCAGCUGUACGGUAACUUAGCGAUAAGAAAAUAGACUAUUGGUUAAAUACAUUUAAAUUUAAGUGUGUUUUAGGAGAAGAGGAACUUUCAGUAUAUUCCUUAAGAUGAGCUGAGCAGCAGUCCAGUUUACAAGAUGACAAGAGUUCGAGAGACAAGAUACAAGAUCACUGAAACAAGAGCCAAGACUGAAGAUUCAAGAGAAGAGAAAGCUGGCAGCCAUGGACUUACAAGUGGAGAUUAAUAAGGUCAUGUAAAGUUUUAUUUUUUUUUAUGGAAGACAGUAACUGGAGUUUUUUUUUUGUUAUAAACAUUAUUUACAGAACUUUUUAGGUUAUAGUAAUGUGAUGGAACUAGUGAGUUGUGGUAGCUGUCAAAAAGAACUAAUACCUUAAGUUUAAUUUUUAAAGUUAAUUUUCUUAAUGUACAGAGGGAUUAGUAGUUUUUUUUAAACCUUAUUUAGGUUGGAAUUUAAAUACAAUAGCUUAUUAUAAAUGUGUACGAACAGUUCAAGUUCACAGUACUGAUAGGUAGGUCAGAUGAUCUUAUUGAUUUUGAUGAUUUGUUGUUUUGAGUUGAUUUUUAAGUGUUGUGAAUUAGACAAUGAAAUAGUUCUGAAAACUUAAAUUAUUUCAAGCUAAGAAAUAGUAAAGUUAAUUGUAACUCAAAGGACACCAGAAUUUAAUUUUUUUUUUAAUUAGUAAUGUUUGAAAAUUUUAUACUUUACAAGAAAGGUUAUAAACAAACAGAUCGGAUGGAACAAGGAUGCAGUAAAUCACAAUUUCAUUUAGAAUUAUUGAUUAGCUUUUGAGGUUAUGAAGUAAAAGUAAUUAUAAUUUAAAAGUUUGAAUAAAAAAAUGUUUUUUUUUAUUUGUUUGAAAUAGAAAAUUUAAAAGUUAAUUAGUCAUGAUCUAGGUGGGUGAUGGGGUGGGAAUUGGCCACUCUUUUUCCCUAUAACCUCCCUAACAUGGCCUUCUAUUACAUCUAACAGAAAAAAAAAAGAAGAAAAAGAAGACUUAUUAUUAGUUAGAAUGUUUUUUUAUGAAGAUACCUGAUGAACUUUUUUUUUAUUGUUGGGAAGAAUAGUAGCAAGAUUAAUCAGAUGUUUUACUCAGAAGAAGAAGAAGAAGAAGAUAAAGCAGUUUUAUGACUCGACAAGCCAGAGAUUGGUGUUUCCCCUCUGCGCUCCUAUUGACUACGUUGUUUACUCUCAUGGGAUAGCUGGUUCGGCACCAUGGAGAGAGAUUGGUGGGCAUUGUGGUUGCCCCCAGAAGAAAAGAAGAGUAGAAGAGGUUAUGGGUGGGUCAUGUGAACUGACCUUCAACCCAGUUACUUCGUGGGGACUAUUUGCUGUAUAGAGAAGAUCAAGACUCAAGAGUUAGGGAAAAUUAUUGGAGGUCAUGUUUCCCUUCCUUAAGUUUUUCCUAUCAAAUUAUUUGCCUGAUUAGAUUAUGCUAAGGGUGGGAUACUUUAUGUUAGCAGUUGAAUUAAUUAAUUUUAUUUUUUUGUGUGUUUGCAUCCUUGCCCAUCGAUUGCAGUUUAGUAGUUAGUUUUGUAUUUGUCAGGCGUGAUGGUAAUGCCUGUUGAUGAUGUUUCAGAAUUGUAAUCUGUUCGUGAUGAGGAUGGCACAACUCCGAAGCAGAUGUGGGGAGAAGUUGUGAGCUGCCCUGGAAGCCAGUCCAGUAGCUGUUGGAGUUGAGUGGUGUUUGCUGAUGGCCAGCCCAGGGAGCUACUCUUCUCGACAACACUGACUUCGAGGAGUUGCACCAACCUUCACGAGAUAAGAGUUUAAUUAAUUGAAACACUGUAAGGACACUUAAUUUUUUUUGAAGAACGAAAGAAGUAUGGUAAUAAACGGAAACCGAAAAAAAAAAAAUAAUAAUAAUUAUCAAGAAUUUGCACAUUGUUUAACGAAUACUGAGAAACUAAGAACAGUAAUUUAAUUUGUAAAGAGAGCUUCACUAACAGAACAAUUUUUUUAGAAUUGAGAACUCGAGCCUCUGAAGGUUCCUGUGAGAACAAACCAGAUAAAAGUUUUACAUUUAAUUUUAUGAAUACUUGUUGUUUUAAAAUAAAUCUUAUGCAGAAUCUAGAUGUAUGUUCAGACAGCAAGGAACUAAGAAAAUUAUUAUUUUUGUGAAAUGAGGAAUUUAUAGUUAUGGUUUAAUGGAAAAAGACAAUUUGUAAUUUUGAGGUAGCUCGAUGGGGCUCGAGCUCUGUGAGGGGAGGGUUAUGUCGCGGGUUGAAAUUUUGCAGGGUUGUUGAAAUCAAAUUUAGGGACUUUACUGACGGGACUCUGGGCUGGCUGCUCUGUUCACUCGUCAGCGCAAGUGGCGUGACCAUGUAAUUGGGGCACGGGGCCGGCGCGGCGCGCUGCGGGCUUGCAGAAUUUUGUUUGUUUGUUUGGCCGCACGCUGGCGCAGCCACGGGCCGCAGUUACUGGGGCGCGCUGUCGUAACAAGCCGCGCGGUGUGGCCUGCACAUUGGGGUAGAGGGGGGGUAGUCUUCCCAGAUGUUCUAGUUAGUUGUUUAGUAAAUUUGACUUCAAUAACGAGCUUUUGUUAUGGUAGGCGCGGCAGGGCGCGCGAAUUUAAGCGCAAGUGAUUGGUGACUCGGGGCUCACUCAGGCGGAGGCUAUGCGUCUCACCUGUGGUCACGAGUUGUUAGUUCGUUCGUGAUGUAGGAAUUCAAGCUUUCGGGCGGAAGCUAUGGUCGACGCCAGAGGCCACGAGUCGUUUAAUUUAAGUUAGGUCAUAAUGUAGUCGUCAAGCUUUCGGGCGGAGGCUAUGGCCCUCGUCAGGGGUCACGCGUCAUAGUUUUUAAAAUGUAAUGUUCGUUCGGGAUUUCAAGGGCAGGAGAGGCCCCUACGUUAUUUUUUUAAAGUAAUCGAUCAAGAAAGGCUUUUCGGAAAAUGUGAGUAUGGACUUAUCUUUGUUUUAAUUUUAAGUAUUAAUUAUGAUUUGAGGUAUUCGGAAGGACUAGGGAAGUGUUUAGUGAAGUUCUCUCAUUCUCUCUCUUGUAAGGUCGUUCAAUCGUUAAGGAAGUAAAGAGAUUAUUGUUUUAAAUUGUAAUCCCGCUAUUUAAAUGUUCUUUAAAAUGAUGUUGAGUAUUUGACUUUAAGAAUAAAAUAAUUUUAAUUAA